rnacentral:lncRNA from 1 species
UAUGAUGUAAAAGAGAAAAAUCAAAAUGUUUUAUGGUGUUCUCUUUGGAUGAUAAACAAUUCAAAUUUAGAUGUUGUUUAGGGUGUUGGUUUGAUGCUAGUUACACAGUUGGUUUAGCAGCAGCUAUUGUCCAUUUUAAUGGUGAAAGACGGUGGUGGAAGGUUGGCGAAGGAGUCAGCCGAUGUUAAUGGUGUUUGGGUUGAUUACAUUUUUUUUUUAUGAAAGAUU